rnacentral:tRNA from 1 species
CGGGGUGUAGUAUACCGGUAGUACGCUACCUUGGGGUGGUAGUAAACCGGGUUCAAUUCCCGGCACCCCGACCA